rnacentral:rRNA from 1 species
UACGAAGGGGGCUAGCGUUGUUCGGAAUUACUGGGCGUAAAGGGCGCGCAGGCGGUCUUCCAAGUCGGAUGUGAAAGCCCCGGGCUCAACCUGGGAACUGCAUUCGAGACUGGGGGACUUGAGUUCGGGAGAGGAGAGCGGAAUUCCAGGUGUAGCGGUGAAAUGCGUAGAUAUCUGGAGGAAUACCGGUGGCGAAGGCGGCAUCCUGGACCGACAUUGACGCUGAUGAGCGAAAGCUAGGGGAGCAAACGGG